GUGCUUGCUUCAGCAGCACAUAUACUAAAAUUGGAAUGAUACAGAGAAGAUUGGCAUGGCCCCUGUGCAAAGAUGACACACAAAUUUGUGAAGCAUUCCAUAUUUUU
rnacentral:snRNA from 1 species